rnacentral:rRNA from 1 species
UACGAAGGGGGCUAGCGUUGUUCGGAUUUACUGGGCGUAAAGCGCACGUAGGCGGUUUGUUAAGUCAGAGGUGAAAUCCCGGAGCUCAACUCCGGAACUGCCUUUGAUACUGGCAAGCUGGAGUCCGGAAGAGGUAAGUGGAACUCCUAGUGUAGAGGUGGAAUUCGUAGAUAUUAGGAAGAACACCAGUGGCGAAGGCGGCUUACUGGUCCGGAACUGACGCUGAGGUGCGAAAGCGUGGGGAGCAAACAGG